UACGGAAGGUGCAAGCGUUAUCCGGAUUCACUGGGUUUAAAGGGUGCGUAGGUGGGUAAGUAAGUCAGUGGUGAAAUCUCCGGGCUUAACCCGGAAACUGCCAUUGAUACUAUUUGUCUUGAAUACUGUGGAGGUCAGCGGAAUAUGUCAUGUAGCGGUGAAAUGCUUAGAUAUGACAUAGAACACCAAUUGCGAAGGCAGCUGGCUACACAAAUAUUGACACUGAGGCACGAAAGCGUGGGGAUCAAACAGG
rnacentral:rRNA from 1 species